CUCUAAUUUCCUGCAUCACAGGGGACCUGAACUACUCAUCUCCUCGCUGAACUGGGAAUAAUUCUGCACGUCCAUAUUGGCCUUGCCGGUACACCAUUCCACUGUCCCGUUGUAUUUUCGACAGACCUGCACUCCUGAUUAGCACCUCAUUACACACACUCAGGUCUGCUUAUAGUUCAAUUUGGACCAGAUUUCCCGAAACGGCCGGCCCCAUGGACAUGGCUGAGGGCUAUUCGCUUGCACACCAGCACGAGUAACGGCCACGCUCGCACAGCUCCAUCUCCUCAAGAGUGUCCCGAGGGGGAAAGCGUCUCUUCUGUGAGCUUUAAGACGUGCUGGCGCUGACCUCGUAGAAACUAUUGGAUUUGAGUAUCCUAGCAACUACAGGAAAAUGGUGCGGUAAUUGUGCAAAAAGGAAGGCGACAGACGAGUCUCUCACAACAAGCGCUCAAUAACACGGGUCGGUGCGUACAGUUUGUGGCCUUUGGGCGAACCAGCUAAUCAGGACAACACCAAUCGCUCACGGCAGAGGCAUCAGAUCUGAAAGCUCACGUUGGAUUUGGAGAUCAACAGUGGUGAGCCGAGUCAAACAACAGCGAGGCCUAUCACCUGUAAUCAAUUGAAGUGAACACAUCAGUGAUGCCAAGCUUGAAGUGGGACCCCUGCAGAAAGCUGCUCCUUUAGCAUCAGGCCCCAGGGCUGAACCGCUGCACUCUGGCUACUUUGCUUCUUUCAUCAUCCCGGUUGUUUUGCAACAUACUGUUGGCUCGGUCAGUUGGGAACGAUGAGGAAGCACGAAUUCAUAAAGAACAAGAAACGUGUGAAGGUAAAACAUGCCACCUUUCACGUGGAGCUACAAAAAGUGCUGAUGUCGGACGUCGUGAUUUGAAGCAACGAAUUCCCUCCGUGCUUGCUGUACGGACUCUGAGAGCUGAGUCUAUUGUGCUACCAGUGCCGUCGCACUGAAUUCACAAAGUGGUCGUCAGCGGAGAUUUGUUUAACGUGUUGCAAUAUAUUGUAAUAAAUCGCUAAAGAAAAGC
ensembl:lncRNA